rnacentral:rRNA from 1 species
CACGCCGUAAACGGUGGGCGCUAGGUGUGGGGAACAUUCCACGUUCUCCGUGCCGCAGCUAACGCAUUAAGCGCCCCGCCUGGGGAGUACGGCCGCAAGGCUAAAACUCAAAGGAAUUGACGGGGGCCCGCACAAGCGGCGGAGCAUGCGGCUUAAUUCGAUGCAACGCGAAGAACCUUACCUAGGCUUGACAGUUGGGGAAAACUGGCAGAGAUGUCAGGUCCUUUUGGGCCCCAAAACAGGUGG